AGCUUUGCGCAGUGGCAGUAUCGUGGACAAUGAGGUUUAUUGGAGGAGUGAUUAUUGCUAAUUGAAAACUUAUCUGGAGAUUA
rnacentral:snRNA from 1 species